rnacentral:lncRNA from 1 species
GCCUUGAGGAUUUCAUUCGAAAAGUUGGCUUGUAGAACCUCAGCACUGUCAGCAAAAAAGUGUGCUCGGGCCAUUAUCUUGCACCUCUAGAAGCUCAUGGAGAAUGUUGUCUUGCAAGCUUGGCUUAUAAUUUUGGCUCCCCUCCUCGCCAGCGGAUCUAUCCUUUUGAGAGCGUUCACAGUAAGAAGCUCUUAAUCUGAGAGUCGGUGAUAGAGAAGAGCC